CCCGCACAAGCGGUGGAGCAUGUGGUUUAAUUCGAUGGUACGCGAGGAACCUUACCAGGGCUUGACAUACGCCGGAAGCGCAUCGAAAGGUGCGUGCCGCUUGCGGCCGGCGUACAGGUGGUGCAUGGUUGUCGUCAGCUCGUGUCGUGAGAUGUUGGGUUAAGUCCCGCAACGAGCGCAACCCCUAUUGCUAGUUACCAUCAUUAAGUUGGGGACUCUAGCGAGACUGCCAGUGAUAAACUGGAGGAAGGUGGGGAUGACGUCAAAUCAUCAUGCCCCUUAUGACCUGGGCUACAAACGUGAUACAAUGGCUGGAACAAAGGGAUGCGAAGCAGUGAUGCGGAGCGAAACCCAUAAAAACAGUCUCAGUUCGGAUUGAAGUCUGCAACUCGACUUCAUGAAGUCGGAAUCGCUAGUAAUCGCGGAUCAGAACGCCGCGGUGAAUACGUUCUCGGGGUUU
rnacentral:rRNA from 1 species